GAUGAACGCUGGCGGCGUGCCUAAUACAUGCCAGUCGAGCGAACAGACGAGGCUUUUUCUUCUCUUACGUUAGCGGCGGACGGGUGAGUACCACGUGUCUAACCUACCUAUAAGACUGGGAUCCCUUCGGGAAACCUGAUCCAAUAUCGGAUCAUAUGUUGAACGUGAUGGUUCAUUAGUGAUAGACGUUUUUGCUGUCCCUUGUACAUGUUUCCUCGCCGCAUUAGCUAGUUGGUAAGGUAACGGCUUACCAAGGCGACGAUGCGUAGCCGAUCUGAGAGGGUGAUCGGCCACACUGGAACUGAGACACGGUCCAGACUCCUACGGGAGGCAGCAGUAGGGAAUAUUCCGCAAUGGGCGAAAGCCUGACGGAGCAACGCCGCGUGAGUGAUGAAGGUCUUCGGAUCGUAAAGCUCUGUUAGUAGGGAAGAACAAAUGUGUAAGUAAAUAUGCACGUCUUGACGGUACCUAAUCAGAAAGCAACGGCUAACUACGUG
rnacentral:rRNA from 1 species